AUGCUCAUUUUGGCAGCACAUACACUAAAAUCAGAACAAUACAAAGAACAUUAGCAUGGUCCCUGCGCAAGGAUGACAUGCAAAUUCGUGAAGCAUUCCAUAUUUAA
rfam:Tupaia chinensis contig172053, whole genome shotgun sequence.